ACGCACGCUGGCGGCGUGCUUAACACAUGCAAGUCGAACGGAAAGGCCCUGCUUUUGUGGGGUGCUCGAGUGGCGAACGGGUGAGUAACACGUGAGUAACCUGCCCUUGACUUUGGGAUAACUUCAGGAAACUGGGGCUAAUACCGGAUAGGAGCUCCUGCUGCAUGGUGGGGGUUGGAAAGUUUCGGCGGUUGGGGAUGGACUCGCGGCUUAUCAGCUUGUUGGUGGGGUAGUGGCUUACCAAGGCUUUGACGGGUAGCCGGCCUGAGAGGGUGACCGGCCACAUUGGGACUGAGAUACGGCCCAGACUCCUACGGGAGGCAGCAGUGGGGAAUAUUGCACAAUGGGCGGAAGCCUGAUGCAGCAACGCCGCGUGCGGGAUGACGGCCUUCGGUUUGUAAACCGCUUUCGCCUGUGACGAAGCGUGAGUGACGGUAAUGGGUAAAGAAGCACCGGCUAACUACGUG
rnacentral:rRNA from 1 species